CACGAAGAUGAAGCGGCACUGGGCUCCGACGGUCGUUAUAACGUCCGGUUAUGAUGGAUACGCCCUUUUGCGGCAGGCCUAGAAAACCUCGCCCACUGAGA
rnacentral:snoRNA from 1 species